AACGAACGCUGGCGGCAUGCCUAACACAUGCAAGUCGAACGAGACCUUCGGGUCUAGUGGCGCACGGGUGCGUCACGCGUGGGAACCUGCCCUUAGGUUCGGAAUACCUCCCCGAAAGGGGUGCUAAUACCGGAUAAUGUCUUCGGACCAAAGAUUUAUCGCCUUUGGAUGGGCCCGCGUUGGAUUAGCUAGUUGGUAGGGUAAAAGCCUACCAAGGCGGCGCUCCAUAGCUGGUAUGAGAGGAUGGUCAGCCACACUGGGACUGAGACACGGCCCAGACUCCGAAGGGAGGGAGCAAGGGGGAAUAUUGGACAAUGGGCGAAAGCCGGAUCCAGCAAGGCCGCGAGAGUGAUGAAGGCCGUAGGGUUGUAAAGCUCUUUUACCCGGGAUGAUAAUGACAGUACCGGAGGAAUAAGCUCCGGCUAACUCCGU
rnacentral:rRNA from 1 species